CCUUUGGCCUGGCCCAUAUUCGUUCUCCGCUCGGACCAUGCUCCCGACCUAGGGUACCGCCACCCCGCCACCGCUCCCUCUCGCAGUAAAGGCCGGGGGAGGCGAGUUGGCGUUCCUCUACGCGGACUGCGGCGGCGCUGCCUUGGUUCCCGAAGAGUGGUUUCCGGCUACCCACGGCGGCCGAGAUCGCCGCGUCGUUGUGGCCCGAUCUCCUCUACGGUGACGGCAUCGCAGGGGGCGGAUAGAUGUCGCGUCGUUGUGGAUCGAUCUCCUCCACGGCGACGACGACACAAAAGGCGGAUACGAGAGAUGUUGUGGCGAGCGACCGAGAUAUCGCAGCCACCAAAAUCACUACGACCACCGUCCAUGGCAGAGGAUGAGCAGGAUGGGGCCUGGGCGCACGAGAUCCCUUCGACCCUGCUGCCAAGAUCCCUCCGAGACCACGUCGACCGGAUCCGGUACUCACAUCACCCAGAUCUGUCCGAAUUUACCAUGCCUGCUUGUAGGUUUGUGUGUGAUCUUUACUGUGUCAUUUUUGCACUUUCGCAUCACGGAAUUACGGCCGUACUCACAUCACCCAGAUCUCAGGCACCAUAUUUCAGUUCUUAAGAUGCAAUUCUAAAUGACGUCGAGGGGCAGUAGCCUGAGAUUGAAGAAAUCAGGGCAGCAUCCUGAGCACGAACCGGAGCAGCAGCUGCAGUUCCGCUUUCCUCUCAACUCGCCUCCUCCUGUCGCCAUUCCGUCCGAUUAUGCCUCCACCUGUGAGACGGCGAGAAGCAAAGGGAAGGGCGCCAGUCGUGGCAGCGUGUCGGAGGGCCGACCAGUGGUACAGAGGACAGGCAUCAUGGUACUCCUCGCCCUUAGGCUUUCACCGACGUGUACGAGGUCCAUCCUCACUAUCUUCUGUUGCUCUUCACUUCAUACUAUUCAAUCGAGAAUCCAUUUUCUUUGAUUGAGAUCUUUAGCUGCCUGGUUGUGUGGACUCAUGUUUGGAUCUAUUUGUUCAUCACACUAGGAAAAAUAUACCACUCUAACGUCACAGAGUAUGAUUGAAUUAGUUGCCAGAUUUAUUUCUCAGUUUUGUUGGAGGAGUGAUAUGUAUAAUAUUUUGGUCACUGUACUGGUUAAUACUCCACAUAUACCAUCACACCUUUUUUUUUUGCCUCAAGCAACACGAUUAAAAAUUAUGUAUGUGCUCUGAGUAAAAAUCAUGAGAUUGACAAACUAAUCUAUUGCCAGAAUUGUAAUAAAGCUCCGGUAGGCUCUAUCAAGGUAGGGAUUGUACUCUCAUUUUCUUAUUUGUGGUAAAAAAAAUAUGACAAUUUAAUUGUCCGGGAAGAAUUUCAUAUAAGCUACUUUCAGUACUUCGGGCCAUUAGCUCAGACAUAACACUAUAUAUGACUUUCCUUUUGAUGUUGCUAAUGAGGUAGCCUUAUCUUGGGAAUAUUUCAUGUGUUAAUUAAUAAAACAUAAUACUAUCUAGGCUUAUCCCUAGAAAAGCUUUUUCAGGAGCCCAUUUGCUGAUCUGGAGAUGGCUUGGGCCACUCACACCAAAAAGAGUCGUCUAGGCAGCCUAUCUGCAGAUAUGGACAAGAUGAUCUAGGUUAUUAUUGUGACAAAGAUAUCGUUAAGACUGCAUGAGUAGCCAAGACGCUUUGGGUUCAAAUGUCUCUCCUGAAACCAUUCUUUGUGCCGGAAAUGGCUCUGUGUCCCAGGCUAAUGGUGCUGAGCCCCUGGAAUGAGCCUUAGCCAAUGGGUGUUCUGAGUUUCUGACAAACAUAUCAGUCCUUCCGUAGAUGAGGUCAUAUCUGAGAAGACUGAUGAUGUUUCAGAGAAAAAAAAUCGAAUGCACUGACACUCAAGGUUGAACUUGGCUAUAUCACGAGGGAAAAGAUUCCAAUGGGAAUUGUUAAAAGAGAGGAAAGAGUUGACUUAACCUACAGAAACACGCUCAGUCCUGACAUGAUAUAGACGAUCCAAAUUAUUGGUGGGAUGUGCCUAAGUCUGUCGCACCGUUGUCAGUGGAACUGCAUCGGAAAUUUGUUGUUGCUAUCAACAUUCUCGGGAUUGAUAAAGCUGUACCGAAAAGAAUACUGGAGCUUAUGAACAUGGAGAAACUCACCAGGGAAAAUGUUGCCACUCGUCUGCAGGAGGGGAGCUGGUGGCCGAGGAUGGUCUCGGGGCGGAGGUGGGUUCAGCGGUCGUGGCUGAGGUUGUGAUGGUGGCCAAGGGCGUGGGAGAUGGAGAUGGAGGGGAGGGCAAGGCAAUGUGGAGGUUUGUGCUGCAGACCUCGAUGCUGACUUGGACAAGUACCACUCGGCUGCGAUGCAAACCAGCUAGAUGGCUCUUGCACUGCCUUGCAUGUAUUGUUCUUUUGGUAGUGAUAGAUGCAAACCUCUCUCGCGAACCAGCGUUGCCGUUUCCUAGGGUUCGGCUCGGCCGCUGCUUCCUUCAACAAUGCCUCCUGACCUUGGCUGUCGCCUCUCUACCUACUCCGCCUCCGCUCAAGCUCGGCCAGGACAAGAGAACGCAUUCACGCGUCGCCACGGCCAUCGCCUCCAUGCGCCUCCAGCUACGCAAAGAGAUCAGAUCUCGUGGGCGACCGUGACGUUGCGCCUGUCGCUGCCGAUUCCCCCUACGAUGGGUUCAUCCUCCAUCGCGCACGACCCGGCGCCUCCACAUCGACCCACGGGGACACACACAUCAUCCAGACCGAUGUCCGGCGACGCGAACCUCCAAAGGAGCUCUGAUAGCGAUGACCACCUGCGGCCGGAACCCUGCUCUCCUGGCUUUGCAACUCCAUCUGGACCGAUUCAUCCUCUCCGGAUAUUGUGCUUACGGACUUUGAUUCCGAAGGCUGUGAAUCGCGGGGUAUGGGACUAUGGAUGAUCUAAGACGAAUUAAGUAGUAAACAAAUGGAUGUAAUUUGUAUCUUGCACACUCUUUGAUUCAAAUGCUCUGAAUGCUAGGUAUAUAUAUUCAAAAAUGUAUUUUUUUGGUGCCUAAUAGUAUUACUAUUAGGCUACUAGGAUUACCCCCUUAACCAGUGACAGUGAUGAGAUUGUAAAAAGAAUUCAAUACCCCGCGAUGUAAAAGGUAAACUUUGAGUAUAGAGUGCCUAGAAGCCCUCCACCUUCCUGUAGGUGAAACCUCCUUGUAAAAGGUUAAUGGUGUGUUGGUUACGAAAUGCUUCAGAUCUUGAUAGGAUUAUAUGAAUGCGAUUGUCUAACUUCAUCAAAAUUUAGUAAAACUGUGGUAUCCAUUAUUUUCUUCUUAGUAGAAAGCAUAGUAUCUAACUUCAUCAAAAUUUAGUAAAAUUGUAAAUACAUGAAAUGUGCAUGGAUUUUGGUACUCGUAAGAGCCUCUAGAAUAACAACUUGAUCAGAGGAAUUAGAAAUACCUAAUUUCUCAUCUAUAAUAAUCAAGUCAGUUGAAUAACUUAUUUUGUUUCCCACAAUGUUUGCAACUUUAUUCUUCGGAGGAGCUCACCUUCCUGGUCUAGAAACUGUUCUUGUGCAGUUCACGAUGGUGCUAUGUACGGUUUGAGGUGAUACUCACGGGCUGGAGUGUCGACGAAAAUCUCUAUGGGAAGCACACUUGGAUUAUUUGAUCAGUUCGCCAGUAGCGUGGAAACAAAAUGAUUCCGCUAGACAGGUCCAAAUAAUGACACCUCAAAAGAUACGGAUCUCAUACACAGAGAAUAUAUCAACUGAAGGACUUGUUGUGGAGAUUAUGUCAAACAGAUCGAAUUAAGUUCAUUAUGUGGAUGCCAAAGGAUCACGAAGGAGCGUGUUAUUGAAACAUCGAGCAGUGACUUUCAUCAUCAAGGCUGCAAUGCUGAAGGCACUCAACUCAAAAUGACAGGGGGGAGGAAUGUGUGGAGGACGUUGAGGGACUGGCAGGUGGCUUUAUACGCGUUCAUAGUUUUGAUGACGAUCAAGGUGAUGCCCUUGUAUGUCUACGUGCUAAGAUAUUGCCUUGGCCUUGUUACUGUUUUUAGUGGUAUAUGUGGGCUUGUAUUGCUCUGUAUUGGGUCAGUUAAGAGUCUUUCACUACCUAAAAUGUUCUUCUGAUCUGGAUUACUCUUAAAUCUGUUCUAAUGAGUAAAUCCUAUUAAGUGUCCCAAAUACAUGGUUGUUAUAAUUUUCUUCUAAAACAGUUUCGAUAAUAGAUUGACCUCCACAUGUGAGAGGAUCAAAAUUUCACAUAAUAUCAUAAAGGCUAGGCUCACAAUAGGUAAGCUUUUAA